rnacentral:rRNA from 1 species
UUGGAGGGCACGUCUGGUGCCAGCAGCCGCGGUAAUUCCAGCUCCAAUAGCGUAUAUUAAAGUUGUUGCAGUUAAAAAGCUCGUAGUUGAACUUCGGGGUCUACCCAUUGGUCAGGCUUAAUUGUCUGCACUGGUGAGAUGGAUCUCUACCUUCUGAGGAACUUUCAUGCCAUUUAUUUGGUGUGAUGGGAAAUCAGGACUGUUACUUUGAAAAAAUUAGAGUGUUUAAAGCAGACUAUCGUCUGAAUACAUUAGCAUGGAAUAAUGAAAUAGGACGGACUGAUUCUAUUUCGUUGGUUUCUAGGAUCACCGUAAUGAUUAAUAGGGAUAGUUGGGGGCAUUAGUAUUCAAUUGUCAGAGGUGAAAUUCUUGGAUUUAUUGAAGACUAACUACUGCGAAAGCAUUCGCCAAGGAUGUUUUCAUUAAUCAAGAACGAAAGUUAGGGGAUCGAAGACGAUCAGAUACCGUCGUAGUCUUAACCAUAAACUAUGCCGACUAGGGAUCGGACGAAGUUAAUUUUAUAAUGACGCGUUCGGCACCUUACGGGAAACCAAAGUGUUUGGGUUC